AGUGCUCUUGAGCCUGAAGCUGCACUGUGCCCUGUCUGAGGAUGAGACUGACCCAGGGGAAGAGUUGCUGGGAUUGCUGCUUGCUGUAUAUCUUGAGAAGCUAGAGGCUGAUCCUGAACUGCAGAUGCCAUAGCUGUAAGUCAUCCAUUCCCUCUUCACACACUGCUGGACCACUUUUGAGUAGCAGCAUUCAAGGAGGAUGACUGAGCCACCAGUGAAAUACAGCUGUGAAAAAGGCAACUGCAAUCCUAGGAUGCAGGAGAAGCAUUUCCAGUGAUUGGGGGGGGGGGAAAUGACAUCAUGAUUGGACUUCACUCUCUCUACAACCCCACACCUGCAAGUACUGGAGGAAAAAGACUGAACUGAGCGGGAAGUGCUGGUCCCAAGCAGGAAAGAAGGAAGCCUGCCUUGUAUGCUUGAUUCAAAUAUUAAAGAGUACAAUAGGCUUA